rnacentral:piRNA from 1 species
UGUAACUAUGAUGCCUACUAACUUGUUA